UACGUAGGGUGCAAGCGUUAAUCGGAAUUACUGGGCGUAAAGCGUGCGCAGGCGGUUGUGCAAGACAGAUGUGAAAUCCCCGGGCUUAACCUGGGAAUGGCAUUUGUGACUGCACGGCUAGAGUGUGUCAGAGGGGGUAGAAUUCCACGUGUGAGCAGUGAAAUGCGUAGAUUAUGAUGGAGGAAUACCGAUGGCGAAGGCAGCCCCUGGGACUAACACGUGACGCCUCA
rnacentral:rRNA from 1 species